ACUGAACCCUAGAGCCCCUGACUGUGGGCUCCACCCAGGCAAGAGCCAAUGGAACUGGAGCCUCCUGCCCCCAACAGGAUUCCUCACAUCCCAGGACCAGCUGGAAAAGGUGGUGAGAGUUGGAAAGAGACUGCUCAGUGAGGACUGCCCUGCGAACCAGCUUGGAUUCAUCCCGUUCACCUCCACGUUCUGCACUCGGGGCCGAGGGAAGGGAGGCAGCCCAGGCAGCUAGAGAACUUGAUGAAACACACUCAAUCUGAAUCUCGCUUGAUCGUCAUGCUGACCCAGUGAGGCCUCUCCAGCCCCUGCUGGGACCACUGGCCCAGGAGGAAGUCUGGGCUCUGGCUGCCACCUGCUUCCUCUCAGGAGUUCUUCUCCCUCCCAAGCAUGGAUUUGCAUUUCCCCCUCUGCCUUCUGCUACUCAAGCCCCCAGGGAUGAGGUGACAGUUAACCCCCCACUUCCUGCUAGUGGCCCCAGAGCGCUCACUUCCUUCCAGUCUACUCAGGGUCAGGCAUCCUUUCCGACUACUCACUCAGCAGCGGAUCCCCACCCGCCUCUGACUCCCAGUGUCUUUCGGCUCCAACGUAAGUUCACCGAACGUCUAAGAGCUGAGGAUUCAAAGGCAUGUAAGACCGCCCCUGCCCUCAGCUGCAAGACCUGUCCGCGAUCCUACGAGCCCCAUUCCGCCCUCUUUCCCCGACCUUGGUCCCCCAUGGGCCCUACAACCAGGUCCCCGACUGACACCUUGACCAGCGAACACAGCAAACAGGCCCGCAGAUGCCGCAGGUCCUUCGGCACCGUCUCCAGGGCCAUCUUCGCCGAUGGGAAGAACAACAGGGAGAUAGACGACCACAGCCUGUGCACCCGCAGGAAGUAAAUAGCUCGUUACCCAGAAUGCCCACCACUUCCGGCGCUUAGACUUCCUCUUCCGGUGUGGGCGGACGCCAGCUCCGCCCCUACCCCCGCCAGAGGAGAUGGUUUCUCCCGCCAGCAGGCGGGGAGGCUGGGCGGCCGGCCGCCACCUGGGCCGGAGCGCGUCGCAGCCACCUGAGCCCGCCGAGGGCGCGGCGGAGGCUGUGUGGGGUAGUCAGCGGGCCCCCGGGGCGGGGGGGCGGCUGCGCUUGCGCGGGAGUGUGUCGGGCUGAGCCGCAGCGCCGAGACGCGGGCUGUUUGAUCUGGGCUGGUGGCCCUGGGCGUCGGUCCUGUUCCCCGAUGGUAACCCGAAGUUUGUUUUUUUUUGUUUUGUCUCCCCGUUUUAGAAGCAUUGGGGGCAGUGAAUCCACUGUCUCCCUCUGGAUUGUCUCUGCAGAGACCGAGAAGAAAUCCAGGGACAGCCCCACCCCUCCUUCCUAACUGCGAGAGCGCUAUAGGGUUUCCACUUGCUUCCCACAGGAAUGCUGGCCUGGGAGCUACGGCGGAAAAAAAUGCGUAUUUAUCUUUUAAAACUCCGUCUGUUUGCUCGUUCCGGCUGAUAAUUUAUACUUUGCGCAGUUCUUAGCGCUUAGACACGGUUCCUUUACUAAAGACCAUUUGUAGGAGAUUAGGUGUCCUUUUUUUCCCUUUCAUUUCACCGUCUAGGAAGCGAAAUGCCUUGUUCUAUAGGCACUAAACCACCACCCCUACCAAACCUUUCUCGGGGAAGCAGAAGGGGAACUUGUGCCUUGUGAGGAAGCGACAAAGGCCCCUUCUGGCCCUGGAGACUUCACGCCAAUGGAGCACCAGCUCUCUGUCCUCGCAAUAGCCCGAGUGCAGGCAGAACGCAGUCAUUUGUGUUUAUCUGAGAGGAGCUUUGGGAUAUAAAUAGUUUCAGGCCCCGCUGCGCUGUCAUUCCAGCCCAGCCUCCUGAUUGAGCUGCUUCCGGGCGGGCUUUCUUCUUGUUGGCGGUCCCAUGCUGUGUUCAGAUGGGCUCUGUGACAGGUUUGGAUGUUUUCUAUCACUGAAUAAAACUUUCCACUUUGGAACAUAUUUUCUACACUCUAUUAUCUCAUGUAAGUCCUGCAACAACUAUUAAGUAGGCCCAUUUUAUGGACUGAAAAAGCGAGGCACAGAGUAUUUGCCCAAGGUCUGAGUCACUGAAGUAUGAUAAUGUGUGAAGUGAACAGUAUAAUAAUAAUGACUGAAGCACAGUAAGAAUCCAGUCAUGCUUUCUCCUUCCCUGAUCUCACUAAGCCACACUUUUAGGGGCUUACAAACCAGUUCUUAUUGCCAAGCCCUCUACUCUACCCUAUCCUUUCAUGAAUCGGAGCCUAGCCUCUGAUAACAUAAAUAAUUUACUUCUCUUGAUGUAGAAAGAGAUGACGUUGUUACCCUGAGUGACAGUCACGACAGAACAAAACCACAAGACCAGACCACAUUUGUGGAUAAAUAUAUUAGCAAAUAAAUAUAUUUCUUAACAUAGUGCCUGAUUCAAGCGUCUGUCUGGUUCAGAUAUAAAUACCCAUGUGGGUACCUAGGUGCUAGUCUCCCCACUAACUGAGGGAAAAAGGUUCCCAGGUGGGGUCCUCUGCCCACUUUGCCACCACAUUCACAUUCCAAAUGGGAUAAUGCCUGAGGGGCCAAGAGUGGUCAGGCUGCCCUGGGGUGAAUGUCACCCUGAUGAGGCCCAUCAGCUCUUGUCCACUCAGUGAGGCCAGACUUGUGCUCUAAUCCACUCUCCUGUGGGUCCCUGGCCUGUAUGGCUUAUACUGGGG
rnacentral:lncRNA from 1 species